GUCGGAGUGGCGGAACGGCAGACGCGCUAGGUUGAGGGCCUAGUGAGGGCAACCUCGUGAGGGUUCAAAUCCCUUCUCCGACACCA
rnacentral:tRNA from 1 species